rnacentral:rRNA from 2 species
GACAGAGGUGCCAAGCGUUAGGCGGAAUCACUGGGCUUAAAGCGUGUGUAGGCGGAUGCCUAAGUACCUUGUGAAAUCCCACGGCUCAACCGUGGAACUGCUUGGUAUACUGGGUGUCUUGAGCCAGCUAGGGGCUACCGGAACAAAUGGUGGAGCGGUGAAAUGCGUAGAUAUCAUUUGGAACGCCAAUGGUGAAAACAGGUAGCUGGGGCUGUGCUGACGCUGAGACACGAAAGCCAGGGGAGCGAACGGG